UACGUAGGGGGCAAGCGUUGUCCGGAAUCAUUGGGCGUAAAGAGCGUGUAGGCGGCCCGAUAAGUCCGCUGUGAAAGUCCAGGGCUCAACCCUGGAAUGCCGGUGGAUACUGUCGGGCUCGAAUCCGGAAGAGGUGAGUGGAAUUCCUGGUGUAGCGGUGAAAUGACGCAGAUAUCAGGAGGAACACCGAUGGCGAAGGCAGCUCGCUGGGACGGUACUGACGCUGAGACGCGAAAGCGUGGGGAGCAAACAGG
rnacentral:rRNA from 1 species